CCAUUACCUAAACAGGGAAAGAAACAGCAUAAGUUGAAAUUAUUUGCAUGGCUUUUCUUGAAGAAAGAUAUUACAAAGUAAAGAUUCUCCUGAUCUUGAAAGGAGCAAUGCAAUGCUGUCAGCCAUUCUGACUUUGCCUUUGCCAUGAUGUCUUUCUCUUCUUCAUAAAAUGAAAUCUAAUGGUGGAGAAAAAGUUUAAUAUUUGUUUGACAUCUCCUGUCUGCUUUUCUUUGACAAGAUGGACUUCUCCAAAAUGACCACGUCCAAUCACUUUUCGCAGUUCAAAAUCACCAACAUUUACUCUGAGUUUCCUGAGUUUGGUAACAACUGGUUGAUCUAGGCAUUUGCAAUAAAAAGUUAAGCAUUUAA